GGCUCUCCAGCAGGAGUUGCCAUGGGAACACUGCAUGUGAUUCGUGGUCCACCAUCCACCUCUCUACUCUAGUCCAGCCCUCCUGCUCUUGUCCUCCAUUUCUUUCAUUUCCCCCAAAGCUGUGCUCAUCAAAAGAAAGCGAGCUCAGAGAGGCUGGAUCACAACACAGCAAACACACACUCCAGCUUCAACAAAGAAAUCCCCAAAAAACUGAAGACCCACAUCCUCCCAUCAUGACUGAAGUCGCCCAACUGGCUUCCUUUAAGCCACAGUUACCCACAAGGAAUCCUUCACACAGUUUCAAUGCUACCUCGAUGACCUUAAACCUCCUGACCUCCACCAAUACGCACGUCCCAUGGGAGGAGGUGCAGUUUCAAGUUCACACCAUCCUGAUUGUGGUCAUUUUUUGUGUUGUCUGCCUCCUGCUCCUGCUUGCCUUCUUCUACGCCUUCUGCCUCCAUUGCUCCAUCAGUUCAUCGCCUAAAGACUCGCACAUAGCCAGCAGAGGCAGCUUAGAGCGGGAGGACGCCACCUACAGGUGCAGUUCACCUGAAAACCAGUCUGUGGGGAAUGUUGUCUAACUUGGACUUUGUUAACUGAAAUUAAACUGUCUAUUAAUGUAUUUGUGGUAAAGCCUACAGAUGUGUUGAAGCACUGUAGAUUUACAGUGGGGAUUUACUGACCAAAAGUAUGUUUCCUUAGCCUUCAACCCAGCUAAUUAGCUAAGAAAAAACGUUUUAGUUAUUUGUUGACCCGCAUGGAAUACAGUCUGCUAUUUAGCACAUUGCUAACAAACCCACAAUGUGUGUAAUUUACCAAGCAAUAUCUAGCCAAGUAGCAUGCUUAACCCAACUGUUGGCUUGUUAGCAUCCUUUUCAAAAUAUUAGAUUCUUAAAAUAAACCUGAAUGUAGAGAUUAGUCGCAGUAGGCAAAAUGCUAAUGUUUUUAAAAAGCGGUUAAAAUAUAGCUAAUCUUCAUUUUGGUCAAACAAUAAGUUUAAUGUUAGACCCACUGGGACAAAUGUUUAUGUUUUUCAUACUUGUCAAUCACAUUGAAAUAAGCUGAAAUACCAAGGUACAAAAGGAUUGUGUCCUGGCUUCCAGGCAUUCUGUUGUGUUUAGGUAAUGUGGGGGAUGCACAUGCAUGUGUGGAUGCAACGUGACCACACAUAGACACAGAAAAAUGAUAAACCAUAUCCAAGGAGCAUUGGGUUCAAUAAAAAAAAAGAUAAAUGUA